UUUAUACGGUGAAACUGCGAAUGGCUCAUUAAAUCAGUUAUCGUUUAUUUGAUAGUACCUUACUACAUGGAUACCUGUGGUAAUUCUAGAGCUAAUACAUGCUAAAAACCUCGACUUCGGAAGGGGUGUAUUUAUUAGAUAAAAAACCAAUGCCCUUCGGGGCUCCUUGGUGAAUCAUAAUAACUUAACGAAUCGCAUGGCCUUGCGCCGGCGAUGGUUCAUUCAAAUUUCUGCCCUAUCAACUUUCGAUGGUAGGAUAGUGGCCUACCAUGGUGGCAACGGGUAACGGGGAAUUAGGGUUCGAUUCCGGAGAGGGAGCCUGAGAAACGGCUACCACAUCCAAGGAAGGCAGCAGGCGCGCAAAUUACCCAAUCCCGACACGGGGAGGUAGUGACAAUAAAUACUGAUACGGGGCUCUUUUGGGUCUCGUAAUUGGAAUGAGUACAAUCUAAAUCCCUUAACGAGGAACAAUUGGAGGGCAAGUCUGGUGCCAGCAGCCGCGGUAAUUCCAGCUCCAAUAGCGUAUAUUAAAGUUGUUGCAGUUAAAAAGCUCGUAGUUGAACCUUGGGUCUGGCUGGCCGGUCCGCCUCACCGCGAGUACUGGUCCGGCUGGACCUUUCCUUCUGGGGAACCUCAUGGCCUUCACUGGCUGUGGGGGGAACCAGGACUUUUACUGUGAAAAAAUUAGAGUGUUCAAAGCAGGCCUUUGCUCGAAUACAUUAGCAUGGAAUAAUAGAAUAGGACGUGCGGUUCUAUUUUGUUGGUUUCUAGGACCGCCGUAAUGAUUAAUAGGGAUAGUCGGGGGCGUCAGUAUUCAGCUGUCAGAGGUGAAAUUCUUGGAUUUGCUGAAGACUAACUACUGCGAAAGCAUUCGCCAAGGAUGUUUUCAUUAAUCAGGGAACGAAAGUUAGGGGAUCGAAGACGAUCAGAUACCGUCGUAGUCUUAACCAUAAACUAUGCCGACUAGGGAUCGGGCGGUGUUUCUAUGAUGACCCGCUCGGCACCUUACGAGAAAUCAAAGUUUU
rnacentral:rRNA from 1 species